UGGGCUAAGCNUCCGUAGCCGGCUCUGAAGUUUUCUGUUAAUCUGNAUGCUCAACUACAGGCUGCCGGGAAUACUGCAGAGCUAGGGAGUGGGAGAGGUAGACGGUACUCNGNAGGAAGGGGUAAAAUCCUUUGAUCUAUUGAUGACCACCUGUGGCGAAGGCGGNCUACCAGAACACGUCCGACGGNGAGGGANGAAAGCUGGGGGANCAAACCGGAUUAGAUACCCGGGUAGUCCCAGCNGUAAACNAUGCAAAC
rnacentral:rRNA from 1 species